rnacentral:rRNA from 1 species
AGAGUUUGAUCCUGGCUCAGGACGAACGCUGGCGGUGUGCUACACACAUGCAAGUCGAGCGAAUGAAGUAGGUAGCUUGCUACUUAUGGAUUUAGCGGCGGACGGGUGAGUAAUAUAUAGGAAUCUGCCUUAGAGCGGGGAACAACAGACCGAAAGGUUUGCUAAUGCCCCAUAGGUAUGCAGUCUUCGGAUUGUAUAUUAAAGGAGUAAUCCACUCUAAGAUGAGCCUGUAUCCGAUUAGCUAGUUGGCGGGGUAAAGGCCCACCAAGGCUACGAUCGGUAGUUGGUCUGAGAGGAUGAUCAGCCACAAUGGGACUGAGACACGGCCCAUACUCCUACGGGAGGCAGCAGUGGGGAAUUUUACACAAUGGGGGAAACCCUGAUGUAGCGACACCGCGUGAACGAAGAAGCCUUUUGGGGUGUAAAGUUCUGUCGGCUGGAACGAAAAAAAUGACGGUACCAGCAAAGGAAGCAUCGGCUAACUACGUGCCAGCAGCCGCGGUAAGACGUAGGAUGCAAGCGUUGUCCGGAUUUAUUGGGCGUAAAGAGUUCGUAGGCGGCUAUUUAAGUCUGAUGUUAAAUACUGUGGCCCAACCACAGAACUGCAUUGGAUACUGGAUGACUUGAGUGCGGUAGAGGCAAGUGGAAUUCCCAGUGUAGCGGUGAAAUGCGUAGA